rnacentral:lncRNA from 1 species
UUUGCCAUUCUUGUUCCUCAUUGAUUUCGUCUGGACUCUCUUUUGAGUUUUGAGUUGUGCUAUCCAUCAAAUUAGUGGUAUCUGUUGUAACUUCCACAUUGGUGGUAGCUUGCAUUGUUUUUUGCUCCCUGAGUGUAUUCUUCGCCUUCUUGGUUUGUAAAUUAGGAUGGAGCUUUCUGCAAUUUUCAUCUCUAUGACUUUGCAUUUUACAGUACGAGCAGAAUGCUGGGAUGGUUUCAUACUCAAUUCUUUGGUUGAUCAUCUCAAUCAGUCCAUCCCUGUUAGUAAUUUCCAAGAUCACUUCGUCGAUAAGAGGUUUGGUCAGAUCUAUUUCCACCCUUACCUUCACAAUGGUGGGUCUAGUUUUGGUUAGUGUGGCUUUAUCAAGCAGUAAAGGGGUCC